rnacentral:rRNA from 1 species
GAUCAUGGCUCAGGAUGAACGCUAGCUACAGGCUUAACACAUGCAAGUCGAGGGGAAACGAUAUUGGAAGCUUGCUUCCGAUAGGCGUCGACCGGCGCACGGGUGAGUAACGCGUAUCCAACCUGCCCACCACUUGGGGAUAACCUUGCGAAAGUAAGACUAAUACCCAAUGAUAUCUCUAGAAGACAUCUGAAAGGGAUUAAAGAUUUAUCGGUGAUGGAUGGGGAUGCGUCUGAUUAGCUUGUUGGCGGGGUAACGGCCCACCAAGGCAACGAUCAGUAGGGGGUUCUGAGAGGAAGGUCCCCCACAUUGGAACUGAGACACGGUCCAAACUCCUACGGGAGGCAGCAGUGAGGAAUAUUGGUCAAUGGGCGAGAGCCUGAACCAGCCAAGUAGCGUGCAGGACGACGGCCCUAUGGGUUGUAAACUGCUUUUAUAAGGGAAUAAAGUGAGUCUCGUGAGACUUUUUGCAUGUACCUUAUGAAUAAGGACCGGCUAAUUCCGUG